CCCUUCAUUCUUUCAUUUUUAUUCACCAAUUCAUCAAUAUCUCUCAAUCUCUCUCAAUCUUUAUACUACAAUUGCUUAGUUUAUUGUUGAAAAUUCGUGAAAAAUUAUGAAAUUGAAGUUUUCAAGUGUUCAACUAUUUUCAAUUUUAAAGAAGUUGUUCGGCAAUUCGGUAAAUUCGUUUCAACUCUUACGUUUUAAUAAUAUAUUUUUGUAUGGUUUAGUUUGCAUAAUUAUAAUU
rnacentral:lncRNA from 1 species